rnacentral:rRNA from 1 species
CCUACGGGUGGCAGCAGUGGGGAAUAUUGCGCAAUGGGCGAAAGCCUGACGCAGGGACGCCGCGUGAGGGAUGAAGGUCUUCGGAUCGUAAACCUCUGUCAGCAGGGAAGAACGGUCACUGUGCUAAUCAGCAGUGAAUUGACGGCACCUGCAAAGGAAGCACCGGCUAACUCCGUGCUAGCAGCCGCGGUAAUACGGAGGGUGCGUGCGGUAAUCGGAAUCACUGGGGGUAAAGUGCUCGUAGGCUGGAUUUCAAGUCCAGGUUGAAAUCCCCGGGGCCAACGUGGGAAGUGCCUUUGAAACUGGAAAACUAGAGUGUGUGAGAGGAUAGUGGAAUUCCAGGUGUAGGAGUAAAAUCCGUAGAUAUAUGGAGGAACAUCAGUGGCGAAGGCGACUAUCUGGCACAUAACUGACGCUGAGGAGCGAAAGCGUGGGUAGCAAACAGGAUUAGAUACCCCUGUAGUC